UACGUAGGGUGCAAGCGUUGUCCGGAAUUAUUGGGCGUAAAGGGCACGCAGGCGGUCUUCUAAGUCUGAUGUGAAAUCCCACGGCUUAACCGUGGUAGGUCAUUGGAAACUGGAGGACUUGAGUACAGAAGAGGAGAGUGGAAUUCCACGUGGAGCGGUGAAAUGCGUAGAGAUGUGGAGGAACACCAGUGGCGAAGGCGACUCUCUGGUCUGUAACUGACGCUGAGGUGCGAAAGCGUGGGUAGCGAACAGG
rnacentral:rRNA from 1 species